YCGAUUCCUACGGGAGGCAGCAGUGGGGAAUUUUCCGCAAUGGGCGAAAGCCUGACGGAGCAACGCCGCGUGAGGGAUGAAGGACUCUGGGCUGUAAACCUCUUUUCUCAAGGAAGAAGAUAUGACGGUACUUGAGGAAUAAGCCACGGCUAAUUCCGUGCCAGCAGCCGCGGUAAUACGGGAGUGGCAAGCGUUAUCCGGAAUUAUUGGGCGUAAAGCGUCCGCAGGCGGCUUUUCAAGUCUGCUGUUAAAGCGUGGAGCUUAACUCCAUCAUGGCAGUGGAAACUGAAAGGCUUGAGUGUGGUAGGGGCAGAGGGAAUUCCCGGUGUAGCGGUGAAAUGCGUAGAUAUCGGGAAGAACACCAGUGGCGAAGGCGCUCUGCUGGGCCAUCACUGACGCUCAUGGACGGAAGCCAGGGGAGCGAAAGGGAUUAGAUACCCCUGUAGUCCUGGCCGUAAACGAUGAACACUAGGUGUCGGGGGAAUCGACCCCCUCGGCGUCGUAGCCAACGCGUUAAGUGUUCCGCCUGGGGAGUACGCACGCAAGUGUGAAACUCAAAGGAAUUGACGGAAU
rnacentral:rRNA from 1 species